rfam:Escherichia vulneris NBRC 102420 DNA, contig: EV10242003.
GGGUGCUUAAGGCUUUCUGUCUUAAGCACGCUCAUUGUUAUUCCGAACAACCUUGAGAGUGUGGUGGACAGAGAGUUGAAGGCCCCGAGCAAUGUUUCCAUUAACUCGGGGGCUACUCUCACACAACCCUAGCAGGUUGAGAGUAGCCUCUUACCCUUUUUUUUGCAAGGAGUAAAAGGCAUG